rnacentral:rRNA from 1 species
UAGGGAAUUUUCGUCAAUGGGCGCAAGCCUGAACGAGUAAUGCCGCGUGAGUGAGGAAGGUCUUCGGAUCGUAAAGCUCUGUUGCGGGGGAAAAAGGAAGCAGAAAGGAAAUGGUCUGCUUUUGAUGGUACCCCGCCAGAAAGUCACGGCUAACUACGUGCCAGCAGCCGC